rnacentral:rRNA from 1 species
AUUGAACGCUGGCGGAAUGCUUUACACAUGCAAGUCGAACGGUAGAGGGGGCAACCUCUCGAGAGUGGCGAACGGGUGAGUAAUAUAUCGGAACGUGCCCAGUCGUGGGGGAUAACGUAGCGAAAGUUACGCUAAUACCGCAUACGAUCUACGGAUGAAAGCGGGGGACUCGCAAGAGCCUCGCGCGAUUGGAGCGGCCGAUAUCAGAUUAGGUAGUUGGUGGGGUAAAGGCUCACCAAGCCAACGAUCUGUAGCUGGUCUGAGAGGACGACCAGCCACACUGGAACUGAGACACGGUCCAGACUCCUACGGGAGGCAGCAGUGGGGAAUUUUGGACAAUGGACGCAAGUCUGAUCCAGCCAUUCCGCGUGCAGGAUGAAGGCCCUCGGGUUGUAAACUGCUUUUGUACGGAACGAAAAGGUUUCCAUUAAUACUGGGAGCUCAUGACGGUACCGUAAGAAUAAGCACCGGCUAACUACGUGCCAGCAGCCGC